rnacentral:rRNA from 1 species
AUUGAACGCUGGCGGCAGGCCUAACACAUGCAAGUCGAGCGGAUGAAGGGAGCUUGCUCCUGGAUUCAGCGGCGGACGGGUGAGUAAUGCCUAGGAAUCUGCCUGGUAGUGGGGGAUAACGUCCGGAAACGGGCGCUAAUACCGCAUACGUCCUGAGGGAGAAAGUGGGGGAUCUUCGGACCUCACGCUAUCAGAUGAGCCUAGGUCGGAUUAGCUAGUUGGUGGGGUAAAGGCCUACCAAGGCGACGAUCCGUAACUGGUCUGAGAGGAUGAUCAGUCACACUGGAACUGAGACACGGUCCAGACUCCUACGGGGGGCAGCAGUGGGGAAUAUUGGACAGUGGGCGAAAGCCUGAUCCAGCCAUGCCGCGUGUGUGAAGAAGGUCUUCGGAUUGUAAAGCACUUUAAGUUGGGAGGAAGGGCAGUAAGUUAAUACCUUGCUGUUUUGACGUUACCAACAGAAUAAGCACCGGCUAACUUCGU